rnacentral:rRNA from 1 species
UGAGCAAUCUGCCCUUCUCAUCGGAAUAAGCGUUGGAAACGACGUCUAAUGCCGAAUACGACCUCCUUUCGCAUGAUCGGAGGUGGAAAGCUCCGGCGGAGAAGGAUGAGCUCGCGGCCUAUCAGCUAGUUGGUGUGGGUAAUGGCCCACCAAGGCGACGACGGGUAGCCGGCCUGAGAGGGUGACCGGCCACACUGGGACUGAGACACGGCCCAGACUCCCACGGGAGCAG